rnacentral:rRNA from 1 species
GACGAACGCUGGCGGCGUGCUUAACACAUGCAAGUCGAACGAGGCCCCUCCUUCGGGAGGGUGUCCUAGCGGCGAACGGGUGAGUAACACGUGGGCAACCUGCCCCCGGCUCUGGGAUAACCCCAAGAAAUUGGGGCUAAUACCGGAUAUGACCGCUGACCGCAUGGUCGGUGGUGGAAAGAUUUAUCGGCUGGGGAUGGGCCCGCGGCCUAUCAGCUUGUUGGUGGGGUAGUGGCCCACCAAGGCGACGACGGGUAGCCGGCCUGAGAGGGUGACCGGCCACACUGGGACUGAGACACGGCCCAGACUCCUACGGGAGGCAGCAGUGGGGAAUAUUGCGCAAUGGGCGGAAGCCUGACGCAGCGACGCCGCGUGAGGGAUGACGGCCUUCGGGUUGUAAACCUCUUUCAGCAGGGACGAAGCGCAGGUGACGGUACCUGCAGAAGAAGCACCGGCCAACUACGUGCCAGCCGCCGCGGUAAGAC